GAUGAAGAACGUAGCGAAAUGCGAUAAGUAAUGUGAAUUGCAGAAUUCAGUGAAUCAUCGAAUCUUUGAACGCACAUUGCGCCCGCCAGUAUUCUGGCGGGCAUGCCUGUUCGAGCGUCAUUUCAACCAUCAAGCCCCAGGCUUGUGUUGGGGACCUGCGGCUGCCGCAGGCCCUGAAAACCAGUGGCGGGCUCGCUGUCACACCGGGCGUAGUAGAUUUUAUCUCGCUCAGGGCGUGCUGCGGGUUCCGGCCGUUAAAAAGCCUUUUUUACCCAAGGUUGACCUCGGAUCAGGUAGGAAGACCCGCUGAACUUAAGCAUAUCAAUAAGCGGACGA
rnacentral:misc_RNA from 1 species